GACAGAGGGGGCAAGCGUUGUCCGGAAUUACUGGGCGUAAAGCGCACGCAGGCGGCCAGGCACGUGUGGGGUGAAAACCCUAGGCUUAACCUAGGGACGUCCCCGCAUACGGCCAGGCUCGAGGCGUACAGAGGCCAGCGGAAUUGCCGGUGUAGGAGUGAUAUCCGUAGAGACCGGCAGGAACACCGACGGGGAAGCCAGCUGGCUGGGUACGACCUGACGCUCAGGUGCGACAGCGUGGGGAGCAAAC
rnacentral:rRNA from 1 species